GCCGAUGUAGCUCAGUUGGUAGAGCAACUCCAUGGUAAGGAGUAGGUCGCCGGUCCAAAUCCGGCCAUCGGCU
rnacentral:tRNA from 1 species